rnacentral:rRNA from 1 species
UACGGGGGGGGGCAAGCGUUUGUUCGGAAUUACUGGGCGUAAAGGGCGCGUAGGCGGCCUUCUAAGUCGGACGUGAAAUCCCUCGGCUUAACCGAGGAACUGCGUCCGAUACUGAAAGGCUUGAAUCCGGGAGAGGGAUGUGGAAUUCCAGGUGUAGCGGUGAAAUGCGUAGAUAUCUGGAGGAACACCGGUGGCGAAGGCGGCAUCCUGGACCGGUAUUGACGCGUGAGGCGCGAAAGCUAGGGGAGCAAACGGGG